GUGUCAGCCGCGGUAAUACGUAGGUGGCAAGCGUUGUCCGGAAUUAUUGGGCGUAAAGCGCGCGCAGGCGGUCCUUUAAGUCUGAUGUGAAAUCUCGCGGCUCAACCGCGAGCGGUCAUUGGAAACUGGGGGACUUGAGUGCAGAAGAGGAAAGCGGAAUUCCACGUGUAGCGGUGAAAUGCGUAGAGAUGUGGAGGAACACCAGUGGCGAAGGCGGCUUUCUGGUCUGUAACUGACGCUGAGGCUCGAAAGCGUGGGGAGCGAACAGGAUUAGAUACCCCAGUAGUCC
rnacentral:rRNA from 1 species